UACGGAGGGGGUUAGCGUUGUUCGGAAUUACUGGGCGUAAAGGGCUCGUAGGCGGCCGACUAAGUCGGAUGUGAAAUCCCCAGGCUCAACCUGGGAACUGCAUCCGAUACUGAUCGGCUUGAAUCCGGGAGAGGGAUGCGGAAUUCCAGGUGUAGCGGUGAAAUGCGUAGAUAUCUGGAGGAACACCGGUGGCGAAGGCGGCAUCCUGGACCGGCAUUGACGCUGAGGAGCGAAAGCCAGGGGAGCAAACAGG
rnacentral:misc_RNA from 1 species